rnacentral:rRNA from 1 species
CCUACGGGAGGCAGCAGUGAGGAAUAUUGGUCAAUGGGCGCGAGCCUGAACCAGCCAAGUAGCGUGAAGGAUGACUGCCCUACGGGUUGUAAACUUCUUUUAUAAAGGAAUAAAGUGAGGCACGUGUGCCUUUUUGUAUGUACUUUAUGAAUAAGGAUCGGCUAACUCCGUGCCAGCAGCCGCGGUAAUACGGAGGAUCCGAGCGUUAUCCGGAUUUAUUGGGUUUAAAGGGAGCGUAGAUGGGUUGUUAAGUCAGUUGUGAAAGUUUGCGGCUCAACCGUAAAAGUGCAAUUGAUACUGGCUGUCUUGAGAACAGUUGAGGUAGGCGGAAUGCGUGGUGUAGCGGUGAAAUGCUUAGAUAUCACGAAGAACUCCGAUUGCGAAGGCAGCUUACUAAACUGCCACUGACAUUGAUGCUCGAAAGUGUGGGUAUCAAACAGGAUUAGAUACCUGUGUAGUC